GAUGAACGCUGGCGGCGUGCUUAACACAUGCAAGUCGAACGAAGCACUUUGGAAUGAUUCUUCGGAUGAGUGAAGAAGUGACUUAGUGGCGGACGGGUGAGUAACGCGUGGAUAACCUGCCUUAUACUGGGGGACAACAGUUAGAAAUGACUGCUAAUACCGCAUAAGCGCACAGUACCGCAUGGUACGGUGUGAAAAACUCCGGUGGUAUAAGAUGGAUCCGCGUCUGAUUAGCUAGUUGGUGAGGUAACGGCUCACCAAGGCGACGAUCAGUAGCCGGCCUGAGAGGGUGAACGGCCACAUUGGGACUGAGACACGGCCCAGACUCCUACGGGAGGCAGCAGUGGGGAAUAUUGGACAAUGGGGGAAACCCUGAUCCAGCAAUGCCGCGUGAAUGAAGAAGGCCUUAGGGUUGUAAAGUUCUUUCACCUGUGACGAUGAUGACGGUAGCAGGAGAAGAAGCCCCGGCUAACUCCGUGCCAGCAGCCGCCGCCG
rnacentral:rRNA from 1 species